rnacentral:piRNA from 1 species
GACACUAAGUGUGCCAAGGCAGGAGGAUC